rnacentral:rRNA from 1 species
GAUGAACGCUGGCGGCGUGCCUAAUACAUGCAAGUCGAGCGAACGGACGAGAAGCUUGCUUCUCUGAUGUUAGCGGCGGACGGGUGAGUAACACGUGGAUAACCUACCUAUAAGACUGGGAUAACUUCGGGAAACCGUAGAUAAUACCGGAUAAUAUUUUGAACCGCAUGGUUCAAAAGUGAAAGACGGUCUUGCUGUCACUUAUAGAUGGAUCCGCGCUGCAUUAGCUAGUUGGUAAGGUAACGGCUUACCAAGGCAACGAUGCAUAGCCGACCUGAGAGGGUGAUCGGCCACACUGGAACUGAGACACGGUCCAGACUCCUACGGGAGGCAGCAGUAGGGAAUCUUCCGCAAAGGGCGAAAGCCUGACGGAGCAAUGCCGCGUGAGUGAUGAAGGUCUUCGGAUCGUAAAACUCUGUUAUUAGGGAAGAACAUAUGUGUAAGUAACUGUGCACAUCUUGACGGUACCUAAUCAGAAAGCCACGGCUAACUACGUG